rnacentral:ncRNA from 21 species
AACGCUGUACCGAAAACACGGUGCUUUUCUCUAUGUUUUCUAAAAGAGAAUCCGGUCAAAUGCCGGAGCGGUCCCGCCACUGUAAGGAAGAGCAAAGCUGCAUGGAUGAACAUCCGGUCACUGGGGAGCCAUCUCUGGGAAGGCGCAGCCGCGCGAGGAUUCCGAGCCAGGAGAACUGCCUGUUUUGUGCGCCCCGCA